AGAGUUUGAUCCUGGCUCAGAACGAACGCUGGCGGCGUGCCUAACACAUGCAAGUCGAACGAGAAAUUUCACUGAGUAAUCGGAGAAAAAGUAAAGUGGCAGACGGGUGAGUAACAGGUGGGUAACCUGCCCUUAAAUUGGGGAUACCCCAUCGAAAGGUGGGCUAAUACCUAAUAAGACUACAAUCACUUAGGUGGAUGUAGUAAAAGGUAGCCUUUCAAAAGCUUUUGUUUAAGGAGGGGCCCGCCUACCAUUAGCUAGUUGGUAGGGUAAUGGCCUACCAAGGCGACGAUCAGUAGCCGGCCUGAGAGGGCGGUCGGCCACACUGGCACUGAAAUACGGGCCAGACUCCUACGGGAGGCAGCAGUGGGGAAUUUUGGGCAAUGGCCGAAAGGCUGACCCAGCAACGCCGCGUGAAGGAUGAAAUUUUUCGGAAUGUAAACUUCGUAAAUUAGGAAAGAAUAAGUUUGCAUUAAUACUGCAAGCGAUGACGGUACCUAAUGUAAGCCCCGGCUAACUCCGUGCCAGCAGCCGCGGUAAUACGGGGGGGGCAAGCGUUGUUCGGAAUUAUUGGGCGUAAAGGGCGCGUAGGCGGUCAGACUAAGUCGAAUGUAAAAUACCAAGGCUUAACCUAGGCAGGUCGUUCGAUACUAGUCGACUAGAGUGUGGAAGGGGUUACUGGAAUUCCUGGUGUAGCGGUGAAAUGCGUAGAUAUCAGGAGGAACACCGGAGGCGAAGGCGGGUAACUGGGCCAACACUGACGCUGAGGCGCGAAAGCUAGGGGAGCAAACAGGAUUAGAUACCCUGGUAGUCC
rnacentral:rRNA from 1 species